GGCUUCGUGGCGCAAUGGCAGCGCGCUGGUUUUCGGUUCUUGCACUGAGAUUACCACCAGAGGUUUAGGGUUCGAAUCCCUACGGAGUCG